AGCAUUAGAUAGUAUAGGUAUUAGAGAACCACUAUUCUCUUGGCUUCAUUCAUAUUUAGUAAAUAGAGUCCGAUGAGUAAAUGUUCACACCGCCUUUUCAAACCACUUCACCCCCUCCUCAAAUGUACUAUAAGGUGCAAUACUUUCUUCCUAACUAUUCACCUUAUUUAUAAACUCUGCAGUUUCAGUGCUCCAUUAUACAAAAAUUCUUAUCUUUGCUGACGAUAUGAAACACUUCUUCCACGUCAAAUCAAUCUUUAUCAUCUUCUCCAAAAUUACCUUCAAUAUUUAGUAUAACUGAUCAUAUGAGAGCUAGUUAAAACUACUUAGAUUUUACCCUUACACAGAUUUAAUGC